CCUACGGGAGGCAGCAGUGGGGAAUAUUGCACAAUGGGGGAAACCCUGAUGCAGCGACGCCGCGUGAGUGAAGAAGUAAUUCGUUACGUAAAGCUCUAUCAGCAGGGAAGAACUACUGACCUUACGGUCAGCAGACGGUACCUGAGUAAGAAGCCCCGGCUAAUUACGUGCCAGCAGCCGCGGUAAUACGUAGGGGGCAAGCGUUAUCCGGAUUUACUGGGUGUAAAGGGAGAGUAGACGGUGCGCCAAGUCUGGAGUGAAAUGCCGCAGCUUAACUGCGGAACUGCUUUGGAAACUGGCGAACUAGAGUGCGGUAGGGGUAAGCGGAAUUCCAUGUGUAGCGGUGAAAUGCGUAGAUAUUAGGAGGAACACCGGUGGCGAAGGCGGCUUACUGGACCGUAACUGACGUUGAGGCUCGAAAGCGUGGGGAGCAAACAGGAUUAGAUACCCGUGUAGUC
rnacentral:rRNA from 1 species